UCGCCCUCGGCUCUUGUUCCGCGCCCGGAGCCAGCGGCGGCGGCUGGGGCUGAGGCGGCUGCGGGAGCGGAGCGGUCGCCGGGCGCGCGGGGGGGACGCCGGCUGCACUCCCGGGCAGGCGCUCUGCAAUGAGACAGUAAAUGCAUCCCCCGAAGGAAAAUGUGGGUGGUUUUUCCCUUCCUUUUGCCUCUCGUGAGUGAUGCCAAUGCAGAAAAAACCCCGCAAACCUCCCAGAUGUGAUGUUCUAGGAGGGCUUUCUGCAGGAAAAUAAAAAUAAAAUGAAAUCAAUG